rnacentral:lncRNA from 1 species
UCAGCAUCAUUGUCAUUUAAGUUUGCCUGUGCACUACAGAUGGCUUUUCUUUUGUUCCUGCUUUCUUUCUUUCUGAAUUCAUCCUUUGCACAAUAUGGCUCGCUUCAUCCCUACGGAAAUAGCAGAGGACACGUUUACCUUGUGACUUACCCACAGACAGCGCUGAUAGGAGCAUGCGCCGUGCCUCGACUGGAUCGCAGCACCACUCGGCCAUUUCUUGAUCUCUUUCAUACAGGUGUCCAUGUCACUGCCUAACGGUUUCUCUCACCAAAAUAUAAAAGAUUAAACGGUGCUAAUUUAGCUUCACAAGCAA